UUGCACUGAUGACAACUUAGGACACCUUUGGAUUCCCCAUGAAAACAAACUGUAAUAAAUCUGAGCAGC